UACGUAGGGUGCGAGCGUUGUCCGGAAUUAUUGGGCGUAAAGAGCUCGUAGGCGGUCUGUUGCGUCGGCUGUGAAAACCCGGGGCUCAACCCCGGGCCUGCAGCCGAUACGGGCAGACUAGAGUUCGGCAGGGGAGACUGGAAUUCCUGGUGUGGCGGUGAAAUGCGCAGAUAUCAGGAGGAACACCGGUGGCGAAGGCGGGUCUCUGGGCCGAUACUGACGCUGAGGAGCGAAAGCGUGGGGAGCGAACAGG
rnacentral:rRNA from 1 species